UACGUAGGGUGCAAGCGUUUGUCCGGAAUUAUUGGGCGUAAAGGGCUCGUAGGCGGUCCGUCACGUCGGGAGUGAAACCUUGGGGCUUAACCCCAAGCCUGCUUCCGAUACGGGCGGACUAGAGGUAGGCAGGGGAGAACGGAAUCCUGGUGUAGCGGUGAAAUGACGCAGAUAUCAGGAGGAACACCGGUGGCGAAGGCGGUUCUCUGGGCAUUACCUGACGCUGAGGAGCGAAAGUGUGGGGAGCGAACAGG
rnacentral:rRNA from 1 species